ACUCUGCCAUAUGAUCACAUAGAAAACUGGUAACUAAAGAAUCACAGAGAAGUCCAAAGACACAUACAAUUCUGUCUUAUGUUAUAUGUUAUAUAAUAUACUUCAAAAUAAAAAUAUCAUAUCUAAGUUAAGUCUUGGUCUCUGCUGUUAGAGGUUCCUCACUUUAAUUUGCCCUGAUAAUCUCUUUAACAAAAUUAAGGCUUCUUGCUCCAAGUCAAUAAGAAGAUGUAAAGAAAUAAAUAUUUCCUUCAUUCCACAUGAAUCUCAGGUGUAUACUCUUGAUGUACCAGAUGCAUUCUAUUACUGUUAUAGUCCAGACCCUGGUAAUGCAAAGGGAAAAGAUGCCAUUAUGGAAACAAUGGCUGACCAGAUAGUUACAGUGUGUGCCACCUUGGAUGAAAAUCCCGGAGUAAGAUAUAAAAGUAAACCUCUAGAUAAUGCCAGUAAGCUUGCACAGCUUGUUGAAAAAAAGCUUGAAGACUACUACAAGAUUGAUGAAAAGAGCCUAAUAAAG
rnacentral:sRNA from 1 species